GACAGAGGGUGCAAACGUUGCUCGGAAUCACUGGGCGUAAAGGGCGUGUAGGCGGGAAGGAUAGUCAGAUGUGAAAUCCCUGGGCUCAACCCAGGAACUGCAUUUGAAACUCCCUUUCUUGAGUGUCGGAGAGGAAAGUGGAAUUCCUGGUGUAGAGGUGAAAUUCGUAGAUAUCAGGAGGAACACCGGUGGCGAAGGCGGCUUCUGGACGACAACUGACGCUGAGACGCGAAAGCGUGGGGAGCAAACAGG
rnacentral:rRNA from 1 species